rnacentral:tRNA from 1 species
GACCUGGUGGCGGAGUGGCGACGCAGCGGUCUGCAAAACCGCGUACGGGGGUUCGAGUCCCCCCCAGGUCUCCC